rnacentral:misc_RNA from 1 species
GUGAAGAACGUAGUGAAAUGCGAUAAGUAAUGUGAAUUGCAGAAUUCAGUGAAUCAUCGAAUCUUUGAACGCACCUUGCGCCUUUUGGUAUUCCGAAAGGCACACCUGUUUGAGCGUCAUGAAUACCUCAAUCUCCAUCUUUUCUUCGGAUUGAUGGGUGACUUGGAUGUUGAGCCCUGCUGGUAUGCUAUAUCAGCUGGCUUUAAACUUAUUAGCCGGCUCUGUACUGGAUCGGUUUGACUCGACGUGAUAAUAUUAUCGUUGAGGAUGCAUGUCUCAUGCAGCCGGAAAGUAUCAAAGCAGCUUCUAGCUUGCCUUUAGUGCACUUUUACAUUUUAGACCUCAGAUCAGGUGGGACUACCCGCUGAACUUAAGCAUAUCAAUAAGCGGAGGA